CUCCGCCGCCCUGGGGGCCGCGCGGAUGGAGGCGCGAGGGCGGGAGCCGGCCGUGGAGCCGCCGCCCCCGUCCUUCUAAGCGCCCGGCGGGACGCGAACCGCGGCCUCCGGGCCCUGGGGCCCCGCGCGCGCUGCGGGGCUGGCGCGGUCCCCGCGGAGGCCGGGAGGGGACGAAGGCCGGCAAAGCGUACUGCCCUUCUAUCCGAGUGGCCCACCCCCUGACAUCAGCAGAAUGGAAGCACCUGGAAGGUGACAUCACUGUUGCCCACGGCAACACCUCUACCUUAAGGCAACUGAGGAAUAAGAACCACUCCAACUGUAGGACUGAUGUUGAAGGGAGGGAGCAUAGAAGGUGUGACAUCCCAGGUCCAGAAACGCCAGGUGGGAAUCUGGGGACCAAGGGAGACGCUUUGGUGCACGCUCGCUGUAGGAAACGCAUCCUUCCCUAG
rnacentral:lncRNA from 1 species